UACGUAGGGGGCGAGCGUUGUCCGGAAUUAUUGGGCGUAAAGCGCUUGUAGGCGGCUUGGCAAGUCGGAUGUGAAAACUCCAGGCUCAACCUGGAGCCGCCAUUCGAUACUGCUAUGGCUAGAGUCCGGUAGGGGAGUGUGGAAUUCCCGGUGUAGCGGUGAAAUGCGCAGAUAUCGGGAGGAACACCGAUGGCGAAGGCAGCACUCUGGGCCGGCACUGACGCUGAGGAGCGAAAGCGUGGGGAGCGAACAGG
rnacentral:rRNA from 1 species